rnacentral:rRNA from 1 species
GGGUAAUCCCUCUUUCGAGUUCAUUGGAGGGCAGUCUGGUGCCAGCAGCCGCGGUAAUUCCAGCUCCAAUAGCGUAUAUUAAAAUUGUUGCAGUUAAAAAGCUCGUAGUUGAAUUUCUGCUGCAUCGUCGCAUCUCUUGCUGAGUGCUUCGUUUCGGCUUAUUUCGGAUUGAUUUUUUCUUUCCGGAUGAUUACUUUGAGAAAAUUAGAGUGCUCAAAGCAGGCUUUUGCCUUGAAUAGUUUAGCAUGGAAUAAUAAAGUAGGACUUUGGUUCUAUUUUGUUGGUUUUAGGUACCAAAGUAAUGGUUAAUAGGAACAGUUGGGGGCAUUCGUAUUUAACUGUCAGAGGUGAAAUUCUUAGAUUUGUUAAAGACGAACUACUGCGAAAGCAUUUGCCAAGGAUGUUUUCAUUAAUCAAGAACGAAAGUUAGGGGAUCGAAGACGAUCAGAUACCGUCGUAGUCCUAACCAUAAACUAA